CUUCCUUAUGAAGUAAACAUGAAAUUCUUAUUUUUAAUAGGAGUAUUUUACUUGAUCUUGAUACAUGUUAUAUCGAAGAUUCGAACACAAAACGGAGGACAGAUAUCAUUAAAAGUAAAUCCCUUAGAUGGAACUGCUGUUUACGGGGAUGUCUCAUACAAAAUACAGUGUACUUUAACUGGAACUCAGGCUACAGCAUGGUCUUGGUCAAAGAGUUCAAUCACUGGUGGUACAACAACGACAAUAUCUAGUGGAAGCAAAUACAACAUUGUGAUGUAUCCCAAUGCUACGAAUUUAACUAUCAACAGUAUUGUGGAGAAUGACGAACAUGAUUAUUUCUGUCAAGCUACCAUUGGUAUAGGAUUACAAUUCCAGACACGAUCAAGGCUUAUUGUCGAUGGAGGUCAGUUCUUGUCAGGUGUAGCUGACUGUAAAUGAGCUCUAUUUUUGAAAUAAAUGUUUAUGUAGUAAAAUCUGAUUAUUUAAUGCAUAACAGCCGGACAGCAAAUCCCUGAUUUGUCAGUUUAAACCCCGGAUUUAUUAUCCGAGAAUCAAUUGGAGAUAAAUUCUACGAAAGCCGUCAACAGACAACAGAAAAAUAAUUCUCCGCGGAGGACGACCCGGUAGGAAAUCGUGAAUUUGUGAAAUUUUAAGAAACCAAACGUAACAUG